ensembl:misc_RNA Y_RNA Y RNA
GGUAAAUAGUGAGUUUAAAGUGGUGUUUACAACUAAUUGACCACAACCAGUUACAGAUUUCUUUAUUCCUUCUCCACUGCCACUGCUUCACUUGACUAGCCUAAA